rnacentral:rRNA from 1 species
UUGGAGGGCAAGUCUGGUGCCAGCAGCCGCGGUAAUUCCAGCUCCAAUAGCGUAUAUUAAAGUUGUUGCAGUUAAAAAGCUCGUAGUUGAAUUUCGGGAUCAAUACGUCGGUCGUGCUUUCGGGUACGUACUGGCGUCAUUGGUUUCUCCUUUCUGACGAACCAUGAUGUCAUUAAUUUGGUGUUAUGGGGAGUUAGGACUGUUACUUUGAAAAAAUUAGAGUGUUUAAAGCAGGCAUUAGCUUGAAUACAUUAGCAUGGAAUAAUGAAAUAGGACGUUCGAUCCUAUUUUGUUGGUUUCUAGGAUCAACGUAAUGAUUAAUAGGGAUAGUUGGGGGCAUUAGUAUUCAAUUGUCAGAGGUGAAAUUCUUGGAUUUAUUGAAGACUAACUACUGCGAAAGCAUUUGCCAAGGAUGUUUUCAUUAAUCAAGAACGAAAGUUAGGGGAUCGAAGACGAUCAGAUACCGUCGUAGUCUUAWCCAUAAACUAUGCCGACUAGGGAUCGGAUGAUGUUAAUUUUUUAAUGACUCAUUCGGCGCCUUACGGGAAAC